rnacentral:rRNA from 1 species
AGUGAACGCUGGCGGUAGGCCUAACACAUGCCAGUCGAACGGCAGCACAGUAAGAGCUUGCUCUUACGGGUGGCGAGUGGCGGACGGGUGAGGAAUACAUCGGAAUCUACUUUUUCGUGGGGGAUAACGUAGGGAAACUUACGCUAAUACCGCAUACGACCUACGGGUGAAAGUAGGGGAUCUUCGGACCUUGCGCGAUUGAAUGAGCCGAUGUCGGAUUAGCUAGUUGGCGGGGUAAAGGCCCACCAAGGCGACGAUCCGUAGCUGGUCUGAGAGGAUGAUCAGCCAAACUGGAACUGAGACACGGUCCAGACUCCUACGGGAGGCAGCAGUGGGGAAUAUUGGACAAUGGGCGCAAGCCUGAUCCAGCCAUACCGCGUGGGUGAAGAAGGCCUUCGGGUUGUAAAGCCCUUUUGUUGGGAAAGAAAAGCAGCAGGUUAAUACCCCGCUGUUCUGACGGUACCCAAAGAAUAAGCACCGGCUAACUUCGUG